rnacentral:rRNA from 1 species
GAUGAACGCUAGCGGCAGGCCUAACACAUGCAAGUCGAGGGGCAGCACAGAAACAGCAAUGUUUUGGUGGCGACCGGCGGACGGGUGCGUAACGCGUAUGCGACCUACCUUUAACAGGGGGAUAACGGAGAGAAAUUUCCACUAAUACCCCAUAACAUUGAUCAAGGCAUCUUGAUUGGUUGAAAACUCCGGUGGUUAAAGAUGGGCAUGCGUUGUAUUAGGUAGUUGGUGAGGUAAUGGCUCACCAAGCCUACGAUACACAGGGGGACUGAGAGGUUAGCCCCCCACACUGGUACUGAGACACGGACCAGACUCCUACGGGAGGCAGCAGUGAGGAAUAUUGGUCAAUGGGGGCAACCCUGAACCAGCCAUGCCGCGUGCAGGAAGACGGCUCUAUGAGUUGUAAACUGCUUUUAAACAGGGAUAAAGCACAGUAUGUAUACUGUGUUGAUGGUACUGUAAGAAUAAGGAUCGGCUAACUCCGUGCCAGCAGCCGCCGUAA